AUUCAUCUUCGGGGCAGGGUGAAAUUCCCGACCGGCGGUGAUGAAGCGAUUGCGCUUCUCAGCCCGCGAGCCGCAAGGCAGGAUCCGGUGCGAGUCCGGAGCCGACAGUAUAGUCUGGAUGGGAGAAGAUGAAG
rnacentral:ncRNA from 2 species